rnacentral:rRNA from 1 species
GAUGAACGCUGGCGGCGUGCCUAAUACAUGCAAGUCGAGCGAACAGACGAGGAGCUUGCUCCUUUGACGUUAGCGGCGGACGGGUGAGUAACACGUGGGUAACCUACCUAUAAGACUGGGAUAACUUCGGGAAACCGGAGCUAAUACCGGAUAAUAUUUCGAACUGCAUGGUUCGAUAGUGAAAGAUGGCUUUGCUAUCACUUAUAGAUGGACCUGCGCCGUAUUAGCUAGUUGGUAAGGUAACGGCUUACCAAGGCAACGAUACGUAGCCGACCUGAGAGGGUGGAUCGGCCACACUGGAACUGAGACACGGUCCAGACUCCUACGGGAGGCAGCAGUAGGGAAUCUUCCGCAAUGGGCGAAAGCCUGACGGAGCAACGCCGCGUGAGUGAUGAAGGUCUUCGGAUCGUAAAACUCUGUUAUUAGGG